rnacentral:rRNA from 1 species
UCAAUCUCGUGCGGCUAUAUAUACCGCCGGUCCCUCUAAGAAGAUAUUCAUUGUACGCCGGUAGUGAAGACCGGGACGACGCCCUGUUACAGACGCCGUCUUACGGCACCUCUUGAUACCGGUUGCACGUCUAUUUAAUAGGCUAGAGUUACGUUCGUUAC